AUACGUAGGGGGCGAGCGUUGUCCGGAAUGAUUGGGCGUAAAGGGCGCGUAGGCGGCCCGGUAAGUCUGGAGUGAAAGUCCUGCUUUUAAGAUGGGAAUUGCUUUGGAUACUGUCGGGCUUGAGUGCAGGAGAGGUGAGUGGAAUUCCCAGUGUAGCGGUGAAAUGCGUAGAGAUUGGGAGGAACACCAGUGGCGAAGGCGACUUACUGGACUGUAACUGACGCUGAGGCGCGAAAGUGUGGGGAGCAAACAGGAUUAGAUACCCUGGUAGUCCACACUGUAAACGAUGAAUACUAGGUGUGCGGGGACUGACCCCCUGCGUGCCGGCGUUAACACAAUAAGUAUUCCACCUGGGGAGUACGAUCGCAAGGUUGAAACUCAAAUGAAUUGACGGGG
rnacentral:rRNA from 1 species